CAGGAAAACGAGUAUGUUUUCCUGGCACUAUAGUGGUCCUUUAAGGACAAUUAUAGUGCCAGGAAAACAAACUUGUUUUCCUGGCACUAU